rnacentral:rRNA from 1 species
AUUGAACGCUGGCGGCAUGCUUUACACAUGCAAGUCGAACGGUAACAGGCCUUCGGGUGCUGACGAGUGGCGAACGGGUGAGUAAUGCAUCGGAACGUACCCAGAGGUGGGGGUUAACGCAGCGAAAGCUGUGCUAAUACCGCAUGUGAUCUGAGGAUGAAAGCGGGGGACCGAGCAGCAAUGUUUGGCCUCGCGCCUUUGGAGCGGCCGAUGUCGGAUUAGCUAGUUGGUGGGGUAAAGGCCUACCAAGGCGACGAUCCGUAGCUGGUCUGAGAGGACGGUAGGCCACACGAGAACUGGGACACGGCCCAGACUACUAAGGGAGGCAGCAGUGGGGAAUUUUGGACAGUGGGCGCAAGCCUGAUCCAGCGAUGCCGCGUGCGAGAAGAAGGCCUUCGGGUUGUAAACCGCUUUUGGCAGGAACGAAACGGUGUCCGCUAAUACCGGGCGCUAAUGACGGUACCGGCAGAAUAAGCACCGGCUAACUACGUG